AACAAAGGCAAAAUGGCCGUUUGGUUACGUGUAGUUGUAGCUGCAUUGCAGUUGUAACUGCAUAUAAAUGCAAAUUUCGUGUUUGGUUUGAUGUAUUUAACUCAAACUGCUGCAGUAAAAACUGCAGGAGGAGGCCCAACUGCAGUAGUUCGAACUACGCCCAAAUUGGCGUGAUUCCAAUUACAGUAGUUGGAGAGAGUAACUUUAAAUAAAAUGUAUGCUUACCUCCUCAAUAUUUUUAAAACAAAAAUUAUUUUUUUUUUUUACAUUGGAGGUAAUCUCACCUUCAUAUAUAUAAAAUAAUAAAAUUUUAAAAAUUAUUUCUCAACUGUAUGCAAUCAAAUAAAUUAUUUAUACGUGCAGCGCUUUCUACUGCAUCCAACCAAACAAGAUUCAUGUAGUUAUAACUGCUGUAUUUCCAACUGCAUGCAUCUCUAACUACACUGUAUUUAUAAUUACAUCUAACCAAACGGUCCCAAGUAUUUUUAUUAG
rnacentral:lncRNA from 1 species